ACCGACCGGCUUGGACUGGUUGAGGACGAACCAAAUUGUAUUUGCUGUAUCAAUUGGUCCCCUUCAACCAGCUAAAGCCGGUCGAUCCU
rnacentral:pre_miRNA from 10 species